rnacentral:rRNA from 1 species
GACGGAGGAUGCAAGUGUUAUCCGGAAUCACUGGGCGUAAAGCGUCUGUAGGUGUUAGUUAAGUACAACUGUUAAAUCUUGAGGCUCAACCUCAAAAUCGCAGUCGAAACUAUUAGGCUAGAGUAUAGUAGGGGUAAAGGGAAUUUCCAGUGGAGCGGUGAAAUGCGUAGAGAUUGGAAAGAACACCGAUGGCGAAGGCACUUUACUGGGCUAUUACUAACACUCAGAGACGAAAGCUAGGGUAGCAAAUGGG